rnacentral:misc_RNA from 1 species
GCACUGCAGCAUGCUUGCUGAGGAUGCAAUCAAGGCUGCUGUCAAGGACAUUGCAACAAAGAGGGCCAAAACUGAUGAAGCACCAGCUGAGAAAGCUGUUGGUGCUUAAAAGCAUAGUGGGUCUCUGGACCUGUGCUCAGUUGAAUUACACUGUUUGAGUUUGUACACACUAAUAUUCCUAUCACCCUGUAAUAACAGAACGUUUGUUUGGGACACUCGACUAUAUUUGCUA